rnacentral:rRNA from 1 species
GACGAACGCUGGCGGCGUGCCUAAUACAUGCAAGUAGAACGCACAGUUGAUACCGUAGCUUGCUACACCAUAGACGGUGAGGUGCGAACGGGUGAGGAACGCGUAGGUAACCUGCCUGGUAGCGGGGGAUAACUAUUGGAAACGAUAGCUAAUACCGCAUAAUAUUAAUUAUUGCAUGAUAAUUAAUUGAAAGGUGCAAUUGCACCACUACCAGAUGGACCUGCGUUGUAUUAGCUAGUAGGUGAGGUAACGGCUCACCUAGGCGACGAUACAUAGCCGACCUGGGAGGGUGGUCCGCCCCACUGGGACUGAGACCCGGCCCAGGCUCCUACGGGGGGCAGCCGUAGGGGAUCUUCGGCCAUGGACGAAAGUCUGACCGGGCCACGCCGCGUGAGUGAAGAAGGUUCUCGGAUCGUAAAGCUCUGUUGUAAGGGAAGAACGGGUGUGAGAGUGGAAUGUUCACACUGUGACGGUAUCUUACCAGAAAGGGACGGCUAACUACGUG